rnacentral:sRNA from 1 species
UUAAGAUUUGCCUUGUUCACUAGCAGGGGUGUGAUUUUUUCCCCCCAGCUAUAGAUAGUUUAAUUCUGGGGAUUGUGGAGGGGGUAUGAAUGAGAGAGCCCAGAGAUGCCUGUGGUGGCUGUUGCCUCUCAUACUGUCUUCCCCUACUCCCAUUGAUGCUGGUCCCUGCUGGUCUCUGCUGGUCUCUGCUGGUCCCUGCUGGUCUCUGCUGGUCCCUGGUGGUCUCUGCUGGUCCCUGCUGGUCCCUGGUGGUCUCUGCUGGUCUUUCCUGGUCUCUGCUGGUCCCUCCUUCUGUGUUUGCUGUUGCAUUUGCUGUUGCUGAAUUGCUAGUUUGCUGGACUAUUGGAUAGUCUAAAGAUGAAGAUUGACUUGCCCCAAGGAACCCAAACUAGCAGGAGGCAGUCUAUAGAUGUCUAUGCUUCCUCCCCCCACCCAAACCUUUCUUUCCUACCUAGUGUUGGAGGAUUGGAAGGGUGUUAGGGUUGAAUAAGGGUUAGAAGGGAGGUAGAGGUAUAAGAACCCAAUACAAUAGUGAAGAUAAACUAACCAAUGUCUUAUGUCAAUGUUUUCUACCCAGAGACCAAUGGGAAUCCCAAGAAGUCCUAGGAGAGAGAUGUAACUCCACACAGAUGCAUAGCAGCUUCUUCCCAGGGAAGGAGGUGGGAUUCUCCGUGCUGUCUCUAAUUCCGUGGUGUAAGGAUUCCUACUGUGACUUAUGCUAAGCUAUGCUACCUAUGUUGGUAGAAGUGAUGUCUACCAACUCCCACAAUUAAAGAAACAAAGCAAAAUGAAACAGCGAGCCCUUGGGAGUCAGCUGAUUCCAGCGCACACCAGAGAGAGACAGUCUGUCCAAAGAAGAAGUGGUUAGCUUCCUGGUGUACCAGGCAGGGAGGUUAAGAGCCACAGGGUCUGAGCCCAGAUGCAGGUGCUGGUUCACUGUAUGGGAGUUUCUGCUACAGAAUGAUGGAUUCUAUGGUCCGGGUUAGUGGGAAGUAAGCCUCUGGGACCACUCCAGCUCUCCCGGUCCCCAAGGCCCUGAGACCAGUGGGUGCCAAAACCCUGCCUGGAGAUGGCCAGGAGCAAGAGUAAUCGUCACACAAGCCGCGCCCAUGGACCUCUCCUCAUAAAUGCUGACUUUGCUCUUGGUAAACAGGUGGUGUACGAGGGGAUGGGUACUUCAUUUUACUUUUUUGAUAGAAUUAUUACUUUAUUAUUUUCCCUAUAAAUAGAGCGCUGACUCAUUUCGGUAAAGAAAUCAGCAAACACAAACAAACCCACAGAAGAAAAUAUAAAAUACUUAGAAUGUUGCCACCCACAUCAGAAUGCGAUUCUUCUCAAUUUUUCAUUUUUAAUGAAGAAAACUUUUCCCACAAGAAAGGAUUCUGCUUCGUUAUAAGCCUACAUUUGUUUCCAUACCAUCAUUAUGCUUUUUUUUGUCAAUAUCAUGCCCUUAUGUUAAUAAUACCACCCCUCACCCCCAUCCUUGAAUGCCAUUGUAUCUUUGCAGUGACGCCAUGGCUCAUUCUCUGUUUUCCUGUAUCAGUGGUAAAUGAUUCUUCUAGUUUAGUGUGUGUGCAUCUUCCAAGUCUUUUUGUCUUUCUCUGUACAAAUCUAUGCUGCACUACCAGCAGUUCUCUGUUCUGGCAAAAAUCACAAUAAAAAAUACCU